GAUGAACGCUGGCGGCGUGCCUAAUACAUGCAAGUCGAGCGAACAGACGAGGAGCUUGCUCCUCUGACGUUAGCGGCGGACGGGUGAGUAACACGUGGAUAACCUACCUAUAAGACUGGGAUAACUUCGGGAAACCGGAGCUAAUACCGGAUAACAUGUUGAACCGCAUGGUUCAACAGUGAAAGACGGUCUUGCUGUCACUUAUAGAUGGAUCCGCGCCGCAUUAGCUAGUUGGUAAGGUAACGGCUUACCAAGGCAACGAUGCGUAGCCGACCUGAGAGGGUGAUCGGCCACACUGGAACUGAGACACGGUCCAGACUCCUACGGGAGGCAGCAGUAGGGAAUCUUCCGCAAUGGGCGAAAGCCUGACGGAGCAACGCCGCGUGAGUGAAGAAGGUCUUCGGAUCGUAAAACUCUGUUAUUAGGGAAGAACAAAUGUGUAAGUAACUAUGCACGUCUUGACGGUACCUAAUCAGAAAGCCACGGCUAACUACGUGCCAGCCGCCGCGGUAA
rnacentral:rRNA from 1 species